rnacentral:tRNA from 2 species
GCGGGGGUGGCGGAGCCUGGCCAAACGCGCAGGACUUAAGAUCCUGUGCCGUAGGGCUGCGCGGGUUCAAAUCCCGCCCCCCGCACCA